AUGGCGGUACUCUUAUGCCCGUAUGAUGGCUUCAGCAAGGCGGAGGAGGUGGAAUUCUUCCACAUCCCCAUAUGGUUGCAGAUUCACAAGCUUCCAGACCCUUAUUGCAAACAAAACAUCAUGGAGAAGCUGCUGAAAGAUGCCGGAGAAAUCAUGGAGAUGCGUUUGAACGGAAACACCUGUGGUGACUAUGUUAGGGUUCGGGUGCGGCAUGAUAUCCGUAAGCCCCUCACAAAGUGCGUCAGCAUUGUUCGCGCUAAGGAGCGCCAGGUUUAUCUGGUUAGAUAUGAGAAACUUGCUAGGUUUUGUAAGUUUUGCGGACUGAUUGGUCAUGAUCACAAAGAGUGCGGUCUGGGCAUCCAUGAGGAGAAGGAUCUCAAGUUUGGAGACUGGAUCUAUGCAGAUGCUCCCAAUAAACUCAGACAAGAGGAUCGGAAUACUAAAGCUAAUGGAUCCGAGCCUAUGAAGGCUAAUGAUAAGGCGCCAGGUAGAUCAGAACCUCAAUAUGCUCCAUAUGAUGCCGAAGUGUUGGACACAGCAACGAGCCCGGUCAAGAAAACAAGUGACAGAACGGAUGGCGUUCUUGUUCCAAAAAGGAGGCUGAACUUGGAGGAGGCCGGGAAGCUACUGGGAGACGUUCCUGGCGUCCCCAAGACGGUGCUGGCCAUAACUGAUGGUAAGGAGAUUGAUCCGAUGGGGGUUGCCUCACCCACCGGUAGUAACUCAAGCAGCAAGAGGUUGAAAGUGAAUACGGACAGUGAUAACAAUGAGAUAUCGGCGGCCUCCCUCGAGGAGGACCGCCGAACGCAAUGA
rnacentral:rRNA from 1 species